UACGUAGGGGGCCAGCGUUGUUCGGAAUUACUGGGUGUAAAGGGUUCGUAGGCGGUGCGGCAAGUUGGGAGUGAAAUCUCUGGGCUCAACCCAGAGACGGCUUCCAAAACUGCUGUGCUUGAGUGUGGGAGAGGCUCGUGGAAUUGCAGGUGUAGCGGUGAAAUGCGUAGAUAUCGGAAGGAACAUCAGUGGCGAAAGCGACUUCCUGGACCAAUACUGACGCUCAUGUGCGAAAGCGUGGGGAGCAAACAGG
rnacentral:rRNA from 1 species